CGGGUGGUAAUGCCGGAUGUUCCAGUUGAUCGCAUGGUCUUCUGGGAAAGCUUUCGCGGUAUGGGAUGGGGUCGCGUCCUAUCAGCUUGACGGCGGGGUAACGGCCCACCGUGGCUUCGACGGGUAGCCGGCCUGAGAGGGCGACCGGCCACAUUGGGACUGAGAUACGGCCCAGACUCCUACGGGAGGCAGCAGUGGGGAAUAUUGCACAAUGGGCGCAAGCCUGAUGCAGCGACGCCGCGUGAGGGAUGGAGGCCUUCGGGUUGUAAACCUCUUUUAUCGGGGAGCAAGCGAGAGUGAGUUUACCCGUUGAAUAAGCACCGGCUAACUACGUGCCAGCAGCCGCGGUAAUACGUAGGGUGCAAGCGUUAUCCGGAAUUAUUGGGCGUAAAGGGCUCGUAGGCGGUUCGUCGCGUCCGGUGUGAAAGUCCAUCGCUUAACGGUGGAUCCGCGCCGGGUACGGGCGGGCUUGAGUGCGGUAGGGGAGACUGGAAUUCCCGGUGUAACGGUGGAAUGUGUAGAUAUCGGAAAAGAAACACCA
rnacentral:rRNA from 1 species